CAAAGGGAAGCGAAGUGGUGACAUGGAGCAAAUCCCAAAAAUAACGUCCCAGUUCGGAUUGUAGUCUGCAACCCGACUACAUGAAGCCGGAAUCGCUAGUAAUCGCGGAUCAGAAUGCCGCGGUGAAUACGUUCCCGGGUCUUGUACACACCGCCCGUCACACCAUGAGAGUUGGAAAUGCCCGAAGUCAGUGGCCCAACCGGAAGGGGGGAGCUGCCGAAGGCAGGUUCGAUGACUGGGGUGAAGUCGUAACAAGGUACC
rnacentral:rRNA from 1 species